rfam:Ricinus communis cultivar Hale ctg_1100012362466, whole genome shotgun sequence.
GGGUGCGAUCAUACCAGCACUAAUGCACCGGAUCACAUCAUAACUCUGAAGUUAAACGUGCUUGGCGACGGUAGUACUAUGAUGGGUGACCUCUUGGGAAGUUCUCGUGUUGCACCCU